GAUCAAGAUGAAUUGAUAGAAAUGUUUUUAAAGGGAUAGUUUCUUCAAAAGAAGUUGACUAGUACCUUUUAGUUCAUGUUAGGGGUGUAACGAUACACCACCACGCAGUACGAUAAAAUUAGACUAUGUGCAGCAUGGGGAAAGUGCGAUUCACAUCAUGUACAUUACGUGUCUAAUGCAGCUGCACUGUUUGUACACCUGCAGCCCUAAUCUGUGUCCUAACUAUCUAACGGAUCACAGCCGACACAAGUUAUAUACGUCAUACCGUUACACAGCCAGUUUAUAAAGAGCUGUUUAGUAGCUUUCAAACACCACCAGCCCCGUGCUGCCAUCUACAGAACCCGGCCGGGGAACCCUGGUGCUGAAGCUUUAUUUGCGGCACUGCUACAGAACACAUUACGCUUCAAUCCAUGGCUUUUCCCAGAUCAGAGACUUUAUUCAAUCAAAAUCUUUGUUCGCUCUCUUUUGGGGAAAAUGUAUUCAUUUGGGGUUUUUUUUUUUUUAGAUACAGUGAGCCUAUAGUAUAUUUUAAAAUGUUAGACCUUUUCGAUGAUAAAAAUGCACUUUGUUUUGCAUUGUUUACUAAGUAGAAAUAAUAAGAAUCUAAUUGAGUUGUGAAGCCGAAAAGUGUUGUGAAUCGAAUCAUGACCAGUGUGGUGUUGCACCCCUAGUUCGUAAUAUUAAUUACUUAAUACUAGUUGUUUUUCUGAGGAAAAGUAAUCAAGCUUUUCCAUAAGUGUUUAACUCUUUCUUGCAGUGCACUGACGUUCCGUUCCGUCGGCAGAACGGAAAUCGACUUUUCAAUCAGUAUAUACAUAUCAAUUAUUUUAUCAUCGUGAGUCUGUUAUGAGGUUAGUCAGGACAGUGUUCGAUUUCUGUGGGUAGAGUAUCAUGACCAUUUAGGUGCUGGUGAGCAGGGCGAUGGGAAAGGGGAGGGGUGUGCGCCCUGUGCUAUCUACCUUGGCUGCAUUGAUCAAACCGUGGUAUUUGAUCAAUGGUAAUUUUAAUGGGUAAUUUAAUAAUAUUUUAUUAUUAGGGUAUUUAAUAAUUUAUUUGAUUGACACUCACAUGGACCAAUUGUAGAAACUUUUAGCUUUCAAACAAGACCUCAUGUCAAGAUUAACAAUACAGAGAGAGAACAGUGUGUAAACUCCUCCCCUCCAUACACACACACACACACACACACACACACACAUCUACACACACCUGUUGGUCUGGCGCUGUCUAUAUGCUGUCAGUCAGCGGGUACGAUCCAAUCAGCUUGCAGCAGCAGAUGGUGUCGGUUGUGCAAGAAAUGGCUGGUCAUGCCUAGUUUUCACACAGUGUGCAGGUGAUUAGCGUCUUAUAGCGAUCGUGUGUUCCCAAAAAAGCCUGAAUUUGUCAGAGGUUUUGAAAGUUAUUUAGGAGUGACUCUGGGGAGGGAGAGGAAUUUGAGGGUUUUUAGGAGGAAGUGUGGAUUCAGCUGAGGAGCAUUCCUGCGAGGACUAGACCCGGCCCUUCAAACAGAAGAAGAGAAUGCUCCUGAUCCUCCUCACACAACAUUCACAUGGAGCUUUCCACUGUGAAACUACCCACCAUCUACCCAACAUCUAGUGCUCCUCUCCCUGCAACACUACAUUAGGAGGAUGGUUGAUUGGGAGGAUGAUGUGCUUGCUGCCUGCCCACACUGCAGUCAAGACUCUAUGCAGAGUACAAGCAGAAGAAGGGCACAUGGAAGGCUGCAACUACCCUGAAGAUGUAUUUGAGGCAAUAUUCUGGAAGACAAUUUUGGGAGUGAUGAAGCCAGAUGUUCCGUGUGUCUGAGUCUGUGUAGGCGGCAGCUGUCAGUGACAUGUCACAGCUGGCGGAGGAGAGGCCGUGCUUUCCAGUGACCAUCAUGGACACCUCAACCUCUGCCGAGAGAGAGAGAGCCUCAGCUGGGAGGAAACACCGUAUACUCAGUCUUGCUGUACUUCUUCCUCUGAAGACAAUUUACAGAUGCAGGUCACGUGAUGUGACGUGUUCCUGUGUACUACAACGCACCGUCUUUGAGCUUCACCACUCAGAAACAUUGAUGCGAACUACACUCGGACUCUUGAUUUUUAAUUCUUUAUUUAAAUUCAAGUUGUUUGCACUUCCCUGUGACCCAGUAGGAUAAGUGGUAUAGAAGAUGGAUGGAUUGUUUGCACUUUUUUCAUGUUUUGCGUUUACUAGUUUAUAUUUUGCACUUUCGUAUAUGUUGUAAAAUAGCGAUUUUGCCUCCUAAAAUCCAACCCCCACGUCCAUGUGGUAGGAGGUGGAAACAGCACCUUCUUCAUGCCUGUAUUACGUAUGUGACCGUGCUAACAGGGCUCUUUUCAAUAAAGGCUAUAUGAGAUGA